GAUGAAGAACGUAGCGAAAUGCGAUAAGUAAUGUGAAUUGCAGAAUUCAGUGAAUCAUCGAAUCUUUGAACGCACAUUGCGCCCGUCAGUAUUCUGGCGGGCAUGCCUGUUCGAGCGUCAUUACGCCCCUCAAGUCCCCUGUGGACUUGGUGUUGGGGAUCGGCGAGGCUGGUUUUCCAGCACAGCCGUCCCUUAAAUUAAUUGGCGGUCUCGCCGUGGCCCUCCUCUGCGCAGUAGUAAAACACUCGCAACAGGAGCCCGGCGCGGUCCACUGCCGUAAAACCCCCCAACUUUUUAUAGUUGACCUCGAAUCAGGUAGGACUACCCGCUGAACUUAAGCAUAUCAAUAGCGGAGA
rnacentral:misc_RNA from 1 species